AAUAUGUUUCAAGGGGUGGUGAAAUUCCACACCGGCGGUAAAAGUCCGCAAACUCGAAGCAGUGCCGAACACGGCGCUGUGACAGAGCCGAAUCGGUGAAAUUCCGAUACCGACGGUUGGGUCUGAUCUUUUCGGUCGGAUCCAGAUAGUCCGGAUGGAAGAAACGACAG
rnacentral:ncRNA from 2 species